UUGCACGCUGGCGGCAUGCCUUACACAUGCCAGUCGAACGGCAGCACGGGUGCUUGCACCUGGUGGCGAGUGGCGAACGGGUGAGUAAUACAUCGGAACAUGUCCUGUAGUGGGGGAUAGCCCGGCGAAAGCCGGAUUAAUACCGCAUACGAUCUACGGAUGAAAGCGGGGGACCUUCGGGCCUCGCGCUAUAGGGUUGGCCGAUGGCUGAUUAGCUAGUUGGUGGGGUAAAGGCCUACCAAGGCGACGAUCAGUAGCUGGUCUGAGAGGACGACCAGCCACACUGGGACUGAGACACGGCCCAGACUCCUACGGGAGGCAGCAGUGGGGAAUUUUGGACAAUGGGCGAAAGCCUGAUCCAGCAAUGCCGCGUGUGUGAAGAAGGCCUUCGGGUUGUAAAGCACUUUUGUCCGGAAAGAAAUCCUUGGCCCUAAUACGGUCGGGGGAUGACGGUACCGGAAGAAUAAGCACCGGCUAACUACGUG
rnacentral:rRNA from 1 species